UGUGUGGCAUGCGUUAUGGUUGCGGGUCGUGACGUCAGUAAUUAGCGCCGUGUUAUGCACGUAUAUAAGCGUCACAUACCGGUAGCUCAGGUAUGCGACUCCCCUCUGGGAUGCAGCUGUUCCUCCUGGCUGGGUUGUUUGUCUGCUGUGGCGUGCUUCAGCUCUACUUUCCAUCCUUCUCCCCGUGUGGCUUCGUUGGCCUACAAGCGAGCUUCAUACCAGCGCGUGUCUGCUUUCUUUGUCUUUCAGUUUCCUGGCAUGUAUUCUUCUCUUUAUCUCUGCUUGUGCACGCAAAUGCGGAUGCAUGAUGAUUCCCGCCAAAUGGAACGUUUGAAUGUUUUGACUACGUUCCGAGUCCCGCAACGACUUGCUGGAGUGCGGCUUUUCUGCCGCGACUGUGCCGCUGCUUUGUUCCCACGUGGAAUGCUCUGUCGAGCGUUGGUUUUCAUCUGACCGCCUUGAGUCUGGAGUGUUACAUUGUCCAUCGAGGCCUCUGGGUGGCGGUGUGGUUGAGCCUUGCAGGGCAUUUGUUUGUUUAAUUUGGUUUAUAUAUUGAUAUUUGAUUUUAUUUAUGUUUUUCUAAGUUGUUAAUCGGUUUUUCCCUUUUGGUAAUCUAUUCUUUUUUUUUUGUUGUGCUUGAAAUAUUGUUUGCUGUGGCUGAUUUUUCAACUGGUUUUGUAACCUUAUGUCAAGUAAUUUUGGUUUGUUGAUUUAAUUUGAGGUGGAUGUUGAUUGUUUUAGUUUAAUUUGAAUUUUUCCUGUGCUAUAGUCUACUUAAUUGUUUGGUUGUAACGUCCAAUUUUAUUGAUUACUAAUUUAUUUUUUUUCCUUUUGCGUGUGUUUUCCCAGGAGCUGCAGGUUUACUCGGGACGAGUGUGUGGCUAGCCUCUUUUGUGGUGGUGUUUCUCACGGAUUGCAGUGCUUUGCCGUGUGCACGGGGUUGUGCGUGUGUACGAAUAGGAAUUGAUCUUUGGCCUAGUCUAUCCCGAAGUAAGACUGCAGCCCUGUGGGUUGUCUG